rnacentral:rRNA from 1 species
UGGCGUCAGGAUGAACGCUAGCGACAGGCUUAACACAUGGCAAGUCGAGGGGCGAGCGGGGAUGAAGCUUGCUUCAUCCGCGGCGACCGGCCGCGACGGUGAGUAACACGUAUGCAACCUGCCCUGGCUGGGGGAUAAGCCGGAGAAAUCCGGUCUAAUACCGCGUAACAUCCUUACGGGACAUCCCGUUAGGAUCAAAGGAAGCGAUUCCGGCCAGGGAUGGGCAUGCGGCGCAUUAGCUAGUCGGCGGGGUAGCGGCCCACCGAGGCGACGAUGCGUAGGGGUUCUGAGAGGAAGGUCCCCCACACUGGUACUGAGACACGGACCAGACUCCUACGGGAGGCAGCAGUGAGGAAUAUUGGUCAAUGGGCGCGAGCCUGAACCAGCCAAGUCGCGUGAGGGAAGACGGUCCUAUGGAUUGUAAACCUCUUUUUGCCGGGGAGCAAGCUGAGUCACGUGUGGCUCAGCUGAGAGUACCCGGAGAAAAAGCAUCGGCUAACUCCGUG